UACAGAGGUCUCAAGCGUUGUUCGGAUUCAUUGGGCGUAAAGGGUGUGUAGGUGGCGCCGUAAGUCAGGUGUGAAAUCUCGGGGCUUAACUCCGAAACUGCAUUUGAUACUGCGGUGCUUGAGGACUGGAGAGGAGACUGGAAUUUAUGGUGUAGCAGUGAAAUGCGUAGAUAUCAUAAGGAAGACCAGUGGCGAAGGCGGGUCUCUGGACAGUUCCUGACGCUGAGGCACGAAGGCCAGGGGAGCAAACGGG
rnacentral:rRNA from 1 species